CAGUAUGGCUAGAUGCACCAUAGUGGUAAGAGCCCUCCCCUGGCUUGGUAGGAGCAGUACUGGGAUCAGCUGCUGAUGUCUGCUGUGUGACUGUUGGGCUUUGGAGUGUUUGACACGGGGGAGGUGUCUGCCAUCUUUGAUGUUC
ensembl:miRNA